CCUAUAACUCUCAGUAUGUUUAUACAGAGGGAGGAUAAUAUACACUAUUGUGAGUAACAGUGGUUCCUAUAACUCUCAGUAUGUUUAUACAGAGGAGGAUAAUAUACACUAUUGUGAGUAACAGUGGGUCCUAUAACUCUCAGUAUGUUUACACAGAGGGAGGAUAAUAUACACUAUUGUGAGUAACAGUGGUUCCUAUAACUCUCUCAGUAUGUUAAUACAGAGGGAGGAUAAUAUACACUAUUGUGAGUAACAGUGGGUCCUAUAACUCUCAGUAUGUUUACACAGAGGGAGGAUAAUAUACACUAUUGUGAGUAACAGUGGUUCCUAUAACUCUCUCAGUAUGUUUAUACAGAGG